UACGUAGGUGGCGAGCGUUGUCCGGAUUUACUGGGCGUAAAGAGCGCGCAGGCGGUCGUACAAGUCGCGUGUGAAAGCCCCUGGCUCAACUGGGGAGGGUCACGCGAUACUGUUCGACUUGAAGGCAGGAGAGGGCAGCAGAAUUCCCGGUGUAGUGGUGAAAUGCGUAGAUAUCGGGAGGAAUACCAGUGGCGAAGGCGGCUGCCUGGCCUGUUCUUGACGCUGAGGCGCGAAAGCUGGGGGAGCAAACGGG
rnacentral:rRNA from 1 species